rnacentral:rRNA from 1 species
AUUGAACGCUGGCGGCAUGCCUUACACAUGCAAGUCGAACGGCAGCACGGGAGCUUGCUCCUGGUGGCGAGUGGCGAACGGGUGAGUAAUAUAUCGGAACGUACCCUAGAGUGGGGAUAACGCAGCGAAAGUUGCGCUAAUACCGCAUACGAUCUACGGAUGAAAGUGGGGGAUCGCAAGACCUCAUGCUCAUGGAGCGGCCGAUAUCUGAUUAGCUAGUUGGUGGGGUAAAGGCCUACCAAGGCUUCGAUCAGUAGCUGGUCUGAGAGGACGACCAGCCACACUGGAACUGAGACACGGUCCAGACUCCUACGGGAGGCAGCAGUGGGGAAUAUUGGACAAUAGGGCGAAAGCCUGAUCCAGCAAUGCCGCGUGAGUGAUGAAGGCCUUAGGUUGCAAAGACUCUUUUUACCCGACGAUGAUAAU